AUGGGGUCCCUUGGCAUCUCCGUCACGUGGGGAAGGGGAUAUGGGGGCUCCUGGGGUGGGUGUCACGUGGUCAUGGGGUGCCCAGGGUCUCCAUCUUGUGGGCAAGAGGUCCUCAAGGUCUCUGGGGUGGGUGUCACGUGGCCACGGGGUCCCCGUCUUGGAGCCGGGGGGUUCCCUGAGGUGGCCAUGGGGUCCCUUGGCAUCUCCGUCGCAUGGGCAAGGGGAUAUGGGGGCUCCUGGGUUGGGUGUCACGUGGCCACGGGGGUCCCCAAGGUCUCCAUCUCGUGGCCAAGGGGUUGCUGGGGUCUCCUGGGUGGGUGUCAGGUGGCCACAGGGUCCCCAGGGUCCCCAUCUUGGAGCCAGGAGGCGGCCACGGGGUCCCUUGGGAUCUUUGUCGCAUGGUCAAGGGGACAUGGGGGCUCCUGGGGUGGGUGUCACAUGGCCACAGGGGUCCCCAAGGUCUCCAUCUCAUGGCCAAGGGGUUGCCAAGGUCUCCUGGGUAGGUGUCAGGUGGCCACGGGGUCCCCAGGGUCCCCAUCUCAGAGCCAGAGGGUCCCCUGCGGUGGCCAUGGGGUCCCUUGGGAUCUUCAUUGCAUGGCCAAGGGGAUGUGGGGGCUCCUGGGGUGGGUGUCACGUGGCCAUGGGGUUCCCAGGGUCCCCAUCCCAUGGCCAAGAGGUCCUCAAGGUCUCUGGGGUGGGUGUCAUGUGGCCAUGGGGUGCCCUAGGUCUCCACCUAGUGGCCAGAAGGUCCCCUGGGGUGGGUGUCACGGAGCUGGGGUGGCCACGCGGUCCCUUGGGAUCCCCAUCACAUGGCCAAGGGGACGUGGGAGCUCCUGGGGUGGGUGUCACGUGGUCGUGGGGGUCCCCAAGGUCCCCGUCUCAUGGCCAAGGGGUCACUGGGAUCCCCUAGAUGGGUGUCAUGUGGCCAUGGGGUGCCCUAGGUCUCCACCUAGUGGCCAGAAGGUCCCCUGGGGUGGGUGUCACGGAGCUGGGGUGGCCACGGGGCCCCUUGGGUCCCCAUCGUGUGGCCAAGGGGACGUGGGGGCUCCUGGUGUGGGUGUUACGUGGCCAUGGGGUCCCCUAGGGGGGGUGUCAUGGAGCUAG
rnacentral:lncRNA from 1 species